GCUUGUCUCAAAGAUUAAGCCAUGCACGUGUAAGUAUAAAAUAACCUAUACUAUUGAAACUGCGAAUGGCUCAUUAUAUCAGUUAUAGUUUACAUGAUAAUAAUUUUCUACUUGGAUACCCGUAGUAAUUCUAGAGCUAAUACAUGCUGUUAAGCCUGACUUCUCGGAAGGGCUGUAUUUAUUAGAUAACAAAUCAAUAUUCCCCGUGUCUAUUGUGAUGACUCAUAGUAACUGAUCGAAUCGCAUGGUCCUUGACCGCGAUACAUCAUUCAAGUUUCUGCCCCAUCAGCUUUCGAUGGUAGUGUAUUGGACUACCAUGGCUUUAACGGGUAACGGAGGAUUAGGGUUCGAUUCCGGAGAGGGAGCCUGAGAAACGGCUACCACAUCUAAGGAAGGCAGCAGG
rnacentral:rRNA from 1 species